rnacentral:misc_RNA from 1 species
UCAUGGUUUUUACCAUCAUACAUCUUCAUCUUAAGAGAGUAUGAACCUGGUGGAGUAAAUCCUGGUAAAACUUGUGAGUGGGACACUAAGAAAUCACCAUCAGACACAGGGCAGGAUGUCUCUUCGCAAAGGUCAUGAGUCUCACUAUGAAUGUGCCAUCCGAAGUAUGCAACGUCAAUCACCAAUUUGCCUCCAGAGAUUGC